AUGGAUGCAGAAAAAAUGGAGUCGUAUGGCUGCAUAAAGCGGAAGAGCGGGAAGUGGCUCAACGACACUUGCUUCAUACCAGGCACCUGCAACGCACCCUGCAGAGACGAGGGCUUCGACAGUGGCCAUUGCAAGAACCUCUGGACAUGCAUCUGCUACAAGAACUGCACCGGCUUAUCCCUCUAG
rnacentral:rRNA from 1 species